CGGCUUCCUGAGCUUGCGGCUCGAAGAUGGAUAAGGUGGGCCGACGAGGAGUUCUACAACUGCAAGGGCCGCAUCUUCAACUACCUCGUCGAGAAGCAUCCAGGCUGAAACCAAAGAUCCCGGAGGAAAUACCUGUAGAGGAACAGACUAGACAAGAUUCAAUAGGAGCUGCAGAAGCUUGCAUGCAAGGGAUAUGCCUUAUACGCUUGUGGUACUCUCUUACAAGAGCUCUAGGCUGAAGCUUGAAGAAGCCUGUAAUAGGAUAGCAUCUUAUGCUCAUCCAGAUGGAGCCUCACUGGAGCUUUGAUGGAACUGCGUUCUGGGCGCUGGACCACCUCGCAUCGAUCUUGUCCACCUCUCCGGUGGCAAGAUCGGUGACUGCCACAUCUA